UACGGAGGGUGCGAGCGUUGUCCGGAAUCACUGGGCGUAAAGGGCGCGUAGGUGGCCUGUGGAAGUCUGCGGUGAAAGCCCGGCGCUCAACGCCGGGUCUGCCGUGGAUACUCUCGGGCUUGAGCUACUAGAGGCAGAUGGAAUUCCGGGUGUAGCGGUGGAAUGCGUAGAGAUCCGGAAGAACACCGGUGGCGAAGGCGGUCUGCUGGGGUAAUGCUGACACUGGAGGCGCGACAGCGUGGGGAGCAAACAGG
rnacentral:rRNA from 1 species